GCGUGUACAUGCCAAAACAAACAUAUGGAGGCCAAAGGACAACUUGUAUAAGUUGGUUUUCCCUUCUACUACAUAGGGUCUGAGUAUUGAACUAAAGUCAUCAGACUUGGUGACAAGCACCCUUACCCACUGAGUUAACCUUAUAUAUUCUUUUUAAAAUUUCUUUUAAAAUACUAACUUUAUUUUUUAAGAUUAUAAUUAUAUCAUUCCCUCUUCCUUUUCUCCCUCAAACCCUUCUAUAUCCCUCCCCUUUCUCUUUUUUAAAAUCCAUUGCCUCUUUUCUCAUUAGUUACUGUUAUGUAUACUUAUGUGUGUAUGUAUACACACAUUCUUCAAUACACUCUGCUAAGUCUGUAUAAUGUAGCUUUUUGUAUGUUUUCAGGGAUGACCAUUUAGUAUUAGAGAGCCAAAUAGUGAGCUCUUCCCAGGGAAGACUAUUUCUCCUGCUCUCAGCUUUCCUUAAUUGCCUGUAGUUCUGUGUGUAGGGUUGACGCCUUACAGACUUUCCCCAGUGCACAUUAGCAUGUCUAUUAUUCUCAUUCAACUUAUGUUUGGGUAGUCAUGUUGGUGAGACUUAAUGUGUUAAUUUCUGACAUUAUCUCACAGGAAAUUCCCUGAUUCUCCGGCUCUUAUAUUUCCAUGCCCUCUUCUCCAAAGUUUCCUGAGCCUUCAGUGAGGGAGCGUUUUGUAGCUGUAUCAGUUGAACCUGGGCAUUUUCCUGAGCCUUCAGUGAGGGAGUGUUUUGUAGCUGUAUCAGUUGAACCUGGGCAUUUUGAUUGGUUGUGGUUUUCUGUAAUGCUUUUUACCUGUUGAAAAGACAAUGGGUAGAGAUAAGUCCUUAUCCCUUGAUGAGGGUAUAAGGACAAACAUUUUAAAGUGUAGCUAGGGAUUAUACUGGUUUAGAAAAGUAGAGGUUGUAGGCUCUCCUCCAAGAUCCAUGACUUCACUAGCCUUGGGCAAUUGGGCACAAUUUCCCUCUUGUUGUGUGGGACAUAGUCCAGUGAGAGAGCUAUUAGUUACAACCAAGGUAUGCAAUCCACUACUGAAUACUGAGGGUUUCUUGUGCCAUACUAGUCAUUGCUGUGGUUCAUAAGUAUUAGAGUUGGGCAACAUUGUUGUUUGCUUCUCUCCUUUGGAAGCUUGAAUGGCACCUUCAAGCUAUCUUUUGCCUUCAAGGCUUUUACCUAUCAUGAAAGCUAGUCCUCAGGGAGUAACCUUUCACAUCAAUUCCAGCUCAAGGACCUCUGGACUAUGUGUCUAACUUGCAUGGUGCCCUUUACCAAUAGGGACUUACCUUUCACCUCUAGCAAUAGUCUGUAAUGUUUUGGGAACUUCUUAUACAAUCCCUCAACAACAACUCUCUCUAUCUAGGGGGAGGGGUUUAUAGGGCUUUUCUUAGAUGAUAGUUUGAUUGCUUAAGACUAUUUUUAGACAUUAAGUUCACUUAACUCAGUAAUGAUCAGCUGGAGGUGAUUUUGACACAUUCCUCCUUCCUCCCCCACCACCCCUUAAACAUAUGGUGAUAGGUUGAGGACACGCUGUAGGUAGAAUACUACUGGCAUCUAGUGGAAGGCAGCUGGGGGUGCCAGUACAUAUCCUAACAGAACAACCAUACACACACACACACACACACACACACAGUGCAUGCCAUUUGAAAAGCAGUAGAUUGCCUGGCUAUAAAUCCAUGCUGUUGCUUAAGCUGGUAGGUUUUAGGACCCAGCAUUAGUGCACCUGUGUAGGAAAGGAAGACACCUGUGGAUGAUGACGCCUACAUUCCAGCAGGUGGAGGUUCAAACAGGCAGAAGGAAGUGCCAGGUGACACACACCCAUUCUCAGCAAACUCCUUCCAGAGAGUUCUCCCAUACUGCUUGCAGACCGGCUUGCUGUUUUUCUUUUUUCUUUUCUUUACUUUUUUUUUUCCUAACUUUUUUAUUGUUAGUUUUGAAAGAAAAGAGAGAAGUUUUAAGCAAAGAAGAAGAGUAAAGGAUGCUAAUUAAAUUAUGAGAAUCAAAGAGGCAGGCUUGAGCAGAAAUGAGGAAGGAAGGGAGGAAAAGGC
rnacentral:lncRNA from 1 species